rnacentral:pre_miRNA from 1 species
UUGAAUUAAAUCAUUGUGGAUCUACAUUUUGAAAAUUGAACUCACAAAAAGUGAUAUGACAUACAUUGAUUUUAUCUAA